GAUGAACGCUGGCGGCGUGCCUAAUACAUGCAAGUCGAGCGAACGGACGAGAAGCUUGCUUUUCUGAUGUUAGCGGCGGACGGGUGAGUAACACGUGGAUAUCCUAUCUAUAAGACGGGAAUACCUUCUGGAACCCGUUGCUAAUACCGGCUAAUUUUGUGUACCUCAGGGUUCCAAUGUGAACUCCGGUCUUGCUGUCACUUAUAGAUGGAUCCGCGCUGCAUUAGCGAGUUGGUAAGGUAACGGCUUACCAAGGCGACGAUGGAUAGCCGACCUGAGAGGAUGAUCGGCCACACUGGAACUGAGACACGGUCCAGACUCCUACGGGAGGCAGCAGUAGGGAAUCUUCCGCAAUGGGCGAAAGCCUGACGGAGCAAUGCCGCGUGAGUGAUGAAGGUCUUCGGAUCGUAAAACUCUUUUAUUAGGGAAGAACAUAUGUGUCAGUAAAUGUGCACAUCUUGACGGUACCUGAACAGAAAGCCCCGGCUAACUACGUG
rnacentral:rRNA from 1 species